AAUGCCUUACACAUGCAGUGCUUUAAAGACUUGACACUGUGGUCAUUCACUCCACGCCCUGGCUCUGUCUGCCCCUGACCACAACACUCACCACACACUGACCAAUGAGGAUCAAGUGUCUAGCCUAAGGACACAAAAGAGAGUCUAAGUGGGAAGAGUGGUCCUAGUUUAGUCCUGGUUUACUACUAGCUUACUCCUGAUUUAGUCCUGGUUUAGUCCUGGUUUAGUCCUGGUUUAGUCCUGGUUUAGCCCUGGUUUAGUCCUGGUUUAGCCCUGGUUUAGUCCUGGUUUAGCCCUGGUUUAGUCCUGGUUUAGCCCUGGUUUAGUCCUGGUUUAGCCCUGGUUUAGUCCUGGUUUUGACAACGAGACAGAACAUCAGUAGCAUUUAGGCCCAUGUGACUCUGACCUAAUGUUUCCUCCUCUCAACACACCUGGAGUUGUUUUUUGUUUCAUUCACACACGUUUAACACACAAAUCUUGCACAUUUAGAAUGAGUUCUUCUAUCAAACUGAAAACACUCUGUUCCACCUUGUGAUGUCAUCAUGUGGUAAUACAGGAAGUACUCCACUGUGUUUUUAAACUCCUUACACCAUAGAAUCAUUUGGAUCAUUCCAGCCCAGUAAUUGUCAAUCUCUGCUGAACUAAAGGUAAAGGGUUAAAAGGGUAAAACUAGGACUAAACUAAAACUGGACCAGGACUAGAAAAGAACCAAACUGGGUUUUCAUCAUGGCUAAACUGGUGCCAAAGUGUGUACGUUGUUCACAGUGGCAGUAUUUGUAUGUUAAGUUUACAGUGACAUUUGAACAGCAGUAUUUCAGUGUUAAAUUUACAGGGGCAGUAUUUAAAUCUGAAGUUUACAGUGAUAGUAUUUAAACAUUAAGUUUACAGUGGCAGUAUUUGAACGUUAUGUUUACAGUGAUGGUAUUUAAAUACUAAGUUUACAGGGGCAGUAUUUAAACGUUAAGUUUACAGUGAUAGUAUUUGAAUGUUAAGUUUUCUGUGGCAGUAAUUAAAUGUUAAGUUUACUGUGACAUUUGAAUGUUAAGUUUACAGGGAUAGUACUUAAAUGUUAACUUUGCUGUGGCAGUAUUUAAACAUUAAGCUUACAGUGACAUUUGAGCAUUAAGUUUACUGGGGCAGUAUUUAAAUGUUAAGUUUACAGGGGCAGUAUUUGAAUGUUAAGUUUAUAGUGGCGGUAUUUGAAUGUUAGGUUUACAGUGGCAGUAUUUAAACGUUAAGUUUACAGUGGCAGUAUUUAAACGUUAUGUUUACAGUGGCAGUAUUUAAACCUUAAGUUUACAGUGGAGGUAUUUGAAUGUUAAGUUUAUAGUGGCAGUAU
ensembl:lncRNA